rnacentral:rRNA from 1 species
UACGUAGGGUGCAAGCGUUACUCGGAAUUACUGGGCGUAAAGCGUGCGUAGGUGGUUGUUAAGUCUGUUGUGAAAGCCCCGGGCUCAACCUGGGAAUGGCAAUGGAUACUGGCAGGCUAGAGUGCGGUAGAGGGUAGUGGAAUUCCCGGUGUAGCGGUGAAAUGCGUAGAGAUCGGGAGGAACACCAGUGGCGAAGGCGGCUACCUGGACCAGCACUGACACUGAGGCACGAAAGCGUGGGGAGCAAACAGG